rnacentral:rRNA from 1 species
UGGGGAAUAUUGCACAAUGGGCGCAAGCCUGAUGCAGCCAUGCCGCGUGUGUGAAGAAGGCCUUCGGGUUGUAAAGCACUUUCAGCGGGGAGGAAGGCGAUAAGGUUAAUAACCUCAUCGAUUGACGUUACCCGCAGAAGAAGCACCGGCUAACUCCGUGCCAGCAGCCGCGGUAAUACGGAGGGUGCAAGCGUUAAUCGGAAUUACUGGGCGUAAAGCGCACGCAGGCGGUCUGUCAAGUCGGAUGUGAAAUCCCCGGGCUCAACCUGGGAACUGCAUUCGAAACUGGCAGGCUAGGGUCUUGUAGAGGGGGGUAGAAUUCCAGGGGUAGCGGUGAAAUGCGUAGAGAUCUGGAGGAAUACCGGUGGCGAAGGCGGCCCCCUGGACAAAGACUGACGCUCAGGUGCGAAAGCGUGGGGAGCAAACAGG